rnacentral:rRNA from 1 species
AUACGAAGGGGGCUAGCGUUGUCCGGAAUUACUGGGCGUAAAGCGCAUGUAGGCGGACAUUUAAGUCGGGGGUGAAAUCCCGGGGCGUCAACCUCGGAACUGCCUUUGAUACUGGGUGUCUAGAGUGUGGAAGAGGUAAGUGGAAUUCCGAGUGUAGAGGUGAAAUUCGUAGAUAUUCGGAGGAACACCAGUGGCGAAGGCGGCUUACUGGUCCAUUACUGACGCUGAGGUGCGAAAGCGUGGGGAGC